UAAUAGGCUUCCUUCGAAAUGGAUUGUCGUCGGAGAAGAUCGAUGCGGUGGUAGCAUUCGCCGAGACUUCUCCAAACUGGUGUUGGAAAAUGCUGGAUGAAUCAGAGUUUGGGGAUUUGAAUUAGGAUU